CAGUCGCCGCGGUAAUACAGAGGGUGCGAGCGUUAAUCGGAUUUACUGGGCGUAAAGCGUGCGUAGGCGGCUUCUUAAGUCGGAUGUGAAAUCCCUGAGCUUAACUUAGGAAUUGCAUUCGAUACUGGGAAGCUAGAGUAUGGAAGAGGAUGGUAGAAUUCCAGGUGUAGCGGUGAAAUGCGUAGAGAUCUGGAGGAAUACCGAUGGCGAAGGCAGCCAUCUGGCCUAAUACUGACGCUGAGGUACGAAAGCAUGGGGAGCAAACAGGAUUAAAGACCCCCGUAGUCCCUGUCUCUUAUAA
rnacentral:rRNA from 1 species